UAAGGGGAGAUGAAGGGAAAUCAGUCCAGCCUUAGAAGUGUACCUCUCUCUGAGGAGGGAGGAGGAAGGCCGGGCAGCAGCAGCCGAGCCUGGGAAAGAAGUGAGCAUGUGCAGACAUAAACCCUCUAGUCCCAGGGCCAUCCUGGUAGGAAAGAGGGCUGAACACCUCCUCAGCAGAGCACCUUGAGGCUCUUCAAUCCCUUUCUAUUUCCCCAGCCGAGUUCCUCUGACUCCAUUGCACAGACAGGAGGGGACGUCAGAAGAGAGCUCCCAGCCACAAAGUGAGAAAGGCGUGGAACACUUGGGUAGAGGAUGAGAAGGACGCAUACAUUUGCUCACAGGCGCACACACAUUACCUUUAACGAAGCAAGACAAAUCGACAACCGUCCUAGUGAAAUGGUGGCGAAGAAAGAUCCUGCAAAGUUGCAGUCAAGCUAAAUAUGGGAAACUAAAGCUCAGAGAAGGAACUUUCCUAAAGUCCACAGGAGUAUCACAUCUACACUCAGGUCCCCUGACUUCCAAAUCUGGAUUAUUACAAAGAAAUCCCAGGAUGGAAUUGUGAAGGGAUGUGUCUGCAGCCGGUGAGGAAGCCCAGGCACACAGAAUCCUGCAGACCUCCCCAGCCCCUCCGCAUCCACAGAGAGCACUCAGGAAAGGGAAAUGAUCACCCAUCUUCCAGAAUACUCUUGAGGGCUGAGUAAGACCAUGCUUGGGAAGGCACUGGGCACAGGCCUGGAGUGUAGCAGAUGCUCAUAUUGGUCGUGUCGAAAUCUGAACUUCCUGAAUUCCCUGGGAUAUAUGCGUACAGCCUAUCUUGAUCAACAGUCGGCAGCAACACAUUGCAGAUAUAAUCUCAAGACCUUGUGGCAUGUACUUGUCACUACAUGCAUAACUUACUAUGGACAGAGGAUCACGGAGAUUUUGAACAUAAUUUCCCACACGACAGGAGAUUAAAUAGACCACAUUGGAAGAAGGCAAGAAGAAGCUAGGUCUCUGGAGUACCAAAAAGUAAACUUCAGCCAGUUCUGGAAGCAUAUAAACAGCAGGAAAUAUACUUGCCGAUGGGCUACUUUCUCAAGAGUUCCUGCUUUCUAGAACUCUGGGGAAAGAAUGAGUUAGUGGGUAAGAAUGUAAGAGGAAAAAGGACCUUCCCUGGAAAGAUUUGGAGUGGAAGAAAAUCCGUGUCUCCUCAUUUAUGUAUGACUUUCUCCUCUCCCUUUGUGAUGCCCCUUUCUUGAAGAAUCCGCUCCCCCAGGUUCACUCCAUCAGAACCUACUCCUGAGACUGCAUUCCUGGCACCUAUAGUGAGGUGUUAAGUCAAUGCCCUACCUUUCAGUAUGUAUGUAAAUAUCAAGCUUUCUUUCUAUGUUUUUUUUUUUUUUCCAGUGAAGAAUUACUGGCUAUCAACAAAUAAAUAAGAGAAGGCAUUAGGGUCCAAAAGCACUUUUUAGGUCUCCCAGAAACCAUUCUACCCAGCAUCCUACAGUACCAUCUUGGACCUGCUGUGCCUAGUUUCCUUACUUGUGAAAACAAAAGAACAGUAGAACCUAACUCACGUGACUCUUGCAAAGAUGAUAGGAGUUCACCCUUAGAAAGCCUGACACGUUGUAAGUGCUUGGUAUGUAUUUAUUAUUAUUACCAUUAUUAGUAUAUGACAUAAAAGCCUUUCUGAAACAAAUAAAUCACAUGAAAUCAUCAA